AAUCUUAUAGUUUAAAAAGAACAUUAAAUUGCAAGUUUAAAAGUAAUUAAUAAUUUAAAAUUU
rnacentral:tRNA from 1 species